UACGUAGGGGGCUAGUGUUGUCCGGAAUCAUUGGGCGUAAAGCGCGUGUAGGCGGCCCGGUAAGUCCGCUGUGAAAGUCGGGGGCUCAACCCUCGGAUGCCGGUGGAUACUGUCGGGCUCGAGUACGGAAGAGGCGAGUGGAAUUCCUGGUGUAGCGGUGAAAUGCGCAGAUAUCAGGAGGAACACCAAUUGCGAAGGCAGCUCGCUGGGACGUUACUGACGCUGAGACGCGAAAGCGUGGGGAGCGAACAGG
rnacentral:rRNA from 1 species